rnacentral:rRNA from 1 species
CCUACGGGAGGCAGCAGUGGGGAAUCUUGCGCAAUGGGGGAAACCCUGACGCAGCAACGCCGCGUGGGUGAUGAAGGCCUUCGGGUCGUAAAGCCCUGUCAGGUGGGAAGAAACUUGUGGAUGUUAAUACCAUCCGCACUUGACGGUACCACCGGAGGAAGCACCGGCUAACUCCGUGCCAGCAGCCGCGGUAAUACGGAGGGUGCAAGCGUUGUUCGGAAUUAUUGGGCGUAAAGAGCUCGUAGGCGGCUCAGCAAGUCGGCCGUGAAAACCCGGGGCUCAACCCCGGGACGCCGGUCGAAACUGCUGUGGCUAGGGUCCGGUAGAGGAGAGUGGAAUUCCCGGUGUAGCGGUGAAAUGCGCAGAUAUCGGGAGGAACACCAGUUGCGAAGGCGGCUCUCUGGGCCGGUACCGACGCUGAGGAGCGAAAGCUAGGGGAGCAAACAGGAUUAGAUACCCUGGUAGUCCUAGCAGUAAACGUUGGGCACUAGGUGUGGCGGACUCAUUGACGUCUGCCGUGCCGAAGCUAACGCAUUAAGUGCCCCGCCUGGGGAGUACGGUCGCAAGGCUAAAACUUAAAGGAAUUGACGG